CAGCGUUAUAAUGUACCAUACCACUAAACGCGUGGAUUAAAAUAAUAAUUGUCGAUCUCAACAACUCAAAAUUGCUCGUGCAUUUUCGGCUUAA